rnacentral:rRNA from 1 species
CCUACGGGCGGCAGCAGUGAGGAAUAUUGGUCAAUGGGCGCAAGUCUGAACCAGCCAUGCCGCGUGCGGGAUGAAGGCUCUAUGGGUUGUAAACUGCUUUUGUACGGGGGUAAAGCCCGAUACGUGUAUCGUGUUGAAUGUAUCUUACGAAUAAGGAUCGGCUAACUCCGUGCCAGCAGCCGCGGUAAUACGGAGGAUCCGAGCGUUAUCCGGAUUUAUUGGGUUUAAAGGGUGCGUAGGCGGUUUGAUAAGUUAGAGGUGAAAUGCUGGGGCUCAACCACGAAACUGCCGCUAAUACUGGUGGACUAGAGAAUAUUUGCGGCAGGCGGAAUGGAUGGGGUAGCGGUGAAAUGCUUAGAGAUCAUACAGAACACCGAUUGCGAAGGCAGCUUACCAAACUAUAUCUGACGCUGAGGCACGAAAGCGUGGGUAGCAAACAGGAUUAGAUACCCCAGUAGUC